rnacentral:rRNA from 1 species
UACAGAGGGUGCGAGCGUUACUCGGAAUUACUGGGCGUAAAGCGCGCGUAGGCGGCUUUGCAAGUCGGGUGUGAAAUCCCCAGGCUUAACCUGGGAACUGCAUUCGAGACUGCAUUGCUAGAGUAUGGGAGAGGGAAGUGGAAUUCCCGGUGUAGCGGUGGAAUGCGUAGAUAUCGGGAAGAACACCGGUGGCGAAGGCGGCUCGCUGGGCCAUUGCUGACGCUGAGGCGCGAAAGCGUGGGGAGCAAACAGG